UACGAGGGAUGCAAGCGUUAUCCGGAAUUAUUGGGCGUAAAGCGUUUGUAGGCGGGCGAGUGUGUUUAAUGUUAAAUCUUAAAGCUCAACUUUGAAAUUGCGUUAAAAACUGCUUGUCUUGAGUAUGGUAGGGGUAAAGGGAAUUCCCAGUGUAGCGGUGAAAUGCGUAGAUAUUGGGAAGAACACUAAACAGCGAAGGCACUUUACUAGGCUAAUACUGACGCUGAGAAACGAAAGGUAAGGUAGCGAAACGGAUUAGAUACCCGUGUAGUCUUACCCGUAAACUAUGGACACUAAACGGUAAAUUUUUAAUUUACUGUUAAAGCUAACGCGUUAAGUGUCCCGCCUGGGGAGUAUGCUUGCAAAAGUGAAACUCAAAGGAAUUGACGGGGGCCCGCACAAGCGGUGGAGCAUGUGGUUUAAUUCGACGGUACACGAAGAACCUUACCAGGAUUUGACAUGCUAGAUAGUUGCUUGAAAGAGUAACGUGCCGUAAGGAAUCUGGACACAGGUGGUGCAUGGCUGUCGUCAGUUCGUGUUGUGAAAUGUUGGGUUAAGUCCCGCAACGAACGCAACCCUUGUCUUUAGUUAUUUUCUAAAGAGACUGCCUGUAAUAAACAGGAGGAAGGUAAGGAUGAGGUCAAGUCAUCAUGCCCCUUAUGUCCUGGGCUACACACGUGCUACAAUGGGAAAGACAAUGAGCUGCAAAUCUGUAAAUUUAAGCAAAUCUCUUAAACUUUCUCGUAGUUCGGAUUGUGGGCUGCAACUCGCCCACAUGAAGUUGGAAUCGCUAGUAAUCGCCAGUCAGCUAUAUGGCGGUGAAUCCGUUCCCGGGCCU
rnacentral:rRNA from 1 species